UACAGAGGUCUCAAGCGUUGUUCGGAUUCAUUGGGCGUAAAGGGCGCGUAGGCGGCCACGACAAGUCAGUUGUGAAAUCUCUGGGCUUAACUCAGAACGGUCAACUGAUACUGUCGGGCUAGAGUGCAGAAGGGGCAACUGGAAUUCUCGGUGUAGCGGUGAAAUGCGUAGAUAUCUGGAGGAACACCGGUGGCGAAGGCGGCGUCCUGGACCAACACUGACACUGAUGAGCGAAAGCCAGGGGAGCAAACGGG
rnacentral:rRNA from 1 species